AGGUUAGGAUGCCCAGACACACAGGAAGAAAAUGGCUAAAAUAGUCAUACAAAUGUGUGAGAGUAACCGUUACAGAGUCAUGAAAAUAUUAAUAACAGACAGAUUAAGAUCAGUCUAAUGGACCACAGCUUUCCACAUCCUAUGGACCCAAAUCAAAAUAACGGGAGUAAACAGGAGGACAUGCCUUAUCCUCGCACAGGGAGACAACAGCGUGAAGACAUCAUACGGAAGGAAAAGGAAACAGGCAAGAACCCCCAGGAAAAUCUGGGAGUGAAAUAAUGAGGCGGGCCUAUCUUCACCGUAUAAUGAGGCACAGAACUACAGUAUUGAAAACUGGAACUGGAACAUGGACAGAUAAAUGGUGAACAGGUACAUAAACCAGUAAGUCAUGGAGGGAUGAUAGGCUGAUUACCAGUCACUCAUUAUGACAAGAUUAAGUCCAGAUGGAGCUAAGAUUCAAAUAAAAAUAAAAUCUUAAAAGAACUGGGUAAAACACAAGGUUUAA
rnacentral:lncRNA from 1 species